rnacentral:rRNA from 1 species
CCCUUAGAUGUCCUGGGCCGCACGCGCGUUACACUGAUGCAUUCAACGAGCUUCUUCCUGGUCCGAGAGGAAUGGGUAACCUUUUGAAAGUGCAUCGUGAUAGGGAUAGACUAUUGCAAUUAUUGGUCUUCAACGAGGAAUUCCUAGUAGACGUAGUUCAUCAGACUGCAUCGAUUACGUCCCUGCCCUUUGUACACACCGCCCGUCGCUCCUACCGAUUGAAUGCUCAGGUGAGCCAUUCGGACUUUCAUCAUGCUGGUUUCCAGUUUUGAUGAAGGAAAGUCUUGCGAACCUUAUCAUUUAGAGGAAGGAGAAGUCGUAACA